AGUUAGUGCUGGGAAACAGUGCUAAGAAGGAUACAGUGGCUAGAAGUCGUCCUGUCGUCCUGCCUCACAGUAACAUCGUUACCGAAUUCUCAGCAGGUGAACCAAAUGAAAUGGUCAACUGAAAGCCAACCAGGAGGGUGUCUGGCUGUUUUGGGGAAACUAUUCCUGACCUUAUUUUGACUAAAAAGUUGCCUGCUGUACCAGCAAAAAAUCACCAUGUACCAACCUAUCCAAACUUAUCCAUGGAUGAAUCUAUCCAGAAGACGGGAGUUCCGAUGCUUGUCUUGCUCUGAAUGUCUGCUUGUCACCUGCUUAGGGUUAUCGACUGUGAUUCUGGGACUCAUUGUUGUUCUACAGGACCCCUCUGACUCUGUGGUUUUCUCUACUGGAUUAACAAUGAUAGCCAUAGGUGCUUUUUUUGUUGUCCUCACUGGAGUGACAGCCCUGUGUACGGUUACAGUCGACGAGAACUUGCAGAAAACCACGAGGCUAAGACUAGGAGUGAUACGAAAAAGCGGAAGUCUCCAAGGAACUACAGAGCCUUCCAUGACUCACUCAAUAAUCGCUAGCACCUCGCUGUAGUUGUACAUUGAACCCUGGCAUCUUCGUCUUUGGAACUAAGUCUCCUGAGCAUUGUUUUUAAAUAGAAAUAAAAUCUGGCUUUUAAAAAAAAAAAAAAA
rnacentral:lncRNA from 1 species